GUCGUAGCCCAUGCUGAUGCCGCUGGUGCGGUUGCUGCUGGGCUUGCUGCCGCCGCCGUCGUAGCUGUCUGCAGGUGUGUGGUCGAAAGCGCCUCUUGCAGUUGUGCGUCCUGGUGCACUCCAUUGCUGCUCCAUCUAAAUAGUGUGGGUCCUCAGCAGCAAAAGCUUCCCAGCAAAUGUGCCACGGCACUGAGCAGGAUCAAAGCAGCAGUUCAAGGCCCCGUCCUGUUCAAGCCUUGGACUUUCUGGUAAAGCUGUCAGCAAAGACACAAACUGUGCUGUUAGCCAUGUAGCAUGGACACGUACCCACCAAGAACAGAGAGGUUCCUUCCACAGAGCACCUGGAAAUCACUAUUAACAUGAGCCCUCAUCUACCCCACCUGGGACUCCUGCACAAAGUUGGUUUGGGGCAGCGGGCAUCUCACGGGCCACUGCCUUCAAGUGUACUGGUGCAGAGCUCCUUCUUCAAUCGUUCCUGGGGCCUGUACUAGGAUGUUCCAUCCUGUUACUGACUUUGAACUAUUUACUGCCAAUUUUUGUAAGGUUGUCUUCCUGAGAAACUAGGAGAGGCUCAUGGACAACCUGGGAAAUUGGUCCAUCAGAGCAUAUGAAAAGAAAAAUUAAUUUACUCUAUUUUUUCUUAAAAAAACCCCAACUUUACAACAUUAGAUAACUUUACUAUUGAUCUAACAGGACAUAUUGGGAGGCCCUGCCUGUGUGCUCAUGCAAGGAAGCAUUUUGAGUAGCUGUCUUUACAGUAGGAACUGCAGAGCUGAUGCUGUGUGAAGUCCGAAGUAUAAGCUACAGCAGGAGCUUGUUGUCCUUCUGUAGCUCUGUCCUUCUGAGCCACAAAUCUGCCCUUGUUCCACCUUUUGAGGCAGCACAGUUCUAUAUUGCCUCUGCUUCCAGCAGGUAGCAAGUUUCUACGGUAAGCCUCUUGCUACGUAAGUUGUUAAAGCACAUGCUUUGUUGAGUAUGAACUCCCUGGAAAAACGUACUGGGGACCAAGAGAAUCUGGGAAAUCUAAGGAAACAUUCCUUUUUAGUAAGCAAUGUGGAUCAAAUGAUAAAAAUCACUUACUUUUACUGUUGAAAGCUUAUGCUCAAUAAGUAAAUCCUCAAAGCCAGGCCCAGCUGAGUCUGCUGCAGCCCUGGGCCAGAGUAUUCCUGCACUGUGUUCCCAUCUCAGCCCUGCCGCAGGGGCAAUACUACAGACCUGCUCUUCACCAGUAAAUUGUACUUCUGUCAUACACAUAAUGAACAUAACAUUUAUCCACACUGUAGCCACAGAUGUAGCCCACAUGGGUGACAUAAAUAUGUUUGCAGUGGUACACAGCACACUCAAGCACUGCUGCAUUUCUCAUAGAGGACCAUAUGUACUGGGCUGUGCAAACAAGAAGUAGAGAGUUGAAGCUGCUGUUGCUGUAAUAAGUACCCCCAUCAUUCUCCUUACUGUUAUAUACAAGAAAAUCCAAAGUACUGGGCAAUUACAGCUUGACAAUCCUGAUGUGGUUUUCUCCGCACUUUAUUUUAAAUAUAUCUGCUUAAUUUUAACAACCAGCAGUAAAAACUACAUACUGCAAAAAGACUCAUGCUUCCGCAACUGAGAGCGCAAGAGCUAUCACAAAGUAUUAUAAAAGCUGAACUUCAUCUCUUCAUUUGGUGUGGUAAUCCUUACACCUGAUUUUAAGUUAUAUCAGUAAAUCAGAUAUUAAGGAAAGCCAGCUGGUUCUGUUAAAUAAACUCCUUUGUCUAAGACUUAAAGGGAGAAAAAAAGCCAGGUGGAGUUAUUGAUCUGCGAAUAUCAGCUGGCAAGGGUCUCACAGGCAGUGCACUCGUGUUUCUUCUAAUUACUAGUGCCUUCAAGGAAAUGCUGCCCAAGCCAACAGGUACAGAGACCUGAUGGUCUGCUGGGGAUUUUGUCUCCCCGAGUUGCAAACAAUUUAUUACCAACAAAGCAGAGGAUCUGUAAAUGUAAGAAUUCACUGGUGAAACUAUUGAAGACAAUGGCAAAAAUCUCAGACUUGUGUUGCAGUGUGUGUUAUUAUCAGAUGUGGUUUUACUGACACAAUGCAGGAGGGAGUUCUUUGUCUUGCUUCAUAAAUUUAACAAUUUGAAGCUGCUUCAUAGAUUUGCUUAUUGAAUUGUAUGCUACCUGAUUUUUUGCAAUUUCCCUCGUCUCCAACAUUAAGAAAACAAUGAAAUUAUAUCUUGAAAUCCACAAGGUGAGUAAGACUUAUUGUUACUCAGGGAUUUACUGUUCUGAUUUCCAGUUUUAAAAUUGAUUGAUUUCUUUAUGAGGAAUGUAAUGAUUAUUCUUUUUCUCUGAUCUAAGUCUGUAUAAAAAACCAAAACAAAACACCAAAAAACUUGUGAACAACAACAAAAAUUAUGCUGAGGAAUGUUUUUAUUUUGGGAGGGGGGAUUGAAGUUUUUAUUUUCUUUGAAGUGGUAGCUGUAUUGUGUUUUAUAUUGCUUUGUUUUGCUUGUUUGGGUCCUGUAUGAUAAUUUGUGUUGUGAUAACUUUAAAUAUAAGCAAGCUUUUUGGAAUAUGAAGUUUGGAUAUUAAUAUGUAUUUGGACUUGGGUGAUUUGUUUGCAAAUCACCUUGCUCUGACAUGUUUUUCAAAAAAUACUCAUUUGCAGUUGAUCACAGCUUUUAAAAAUUGAAAUUAUUGAAUGAGUUUUAGGGCACCAUCUUCUGGUAGACAGAAAACAUUUUAUUUGAAUAGCUACCUUUGCUAGGCACAGCUAUUUAAAAUAUUUUUGACUAACACUACUCUGCAGGCUUACAGGCAAUUUCUCGUUCUAAAACUGCAAUAAAACACUAUUUAACAUUU